rnacentral:rRNA from 1 species
UUGAUCCUGCCGGACCCGACUGCUAUCAGAGUGGGACUAAGCCAUGCGAGUCAACAUAGCAAUAUGUGGCAUACGGCUCAGUAACACGUAGUCAACAUGCCCAGGGGACGUGGAUAACCUCGGGAAACUGAGGAUAAACCGCGAUAAGUCACUACUUCUGGAAUGGGUAAUGACUCAAAUCUAUAUGGCCCCUGGAUUGGACUGCGGCCGAUCAGGCUGUUGGUGAGGUAAUGGCCCACCAAACCUGUAACCGGUACGGGCUCUGAGGGGAGGAGCCCGGAGAUGGGCACUGAGACAAGGGCCCAGGCCCUAUGGGGCGCAGCAGGCGCGAAACCUCUGCAAUAGGCGAAAGCUUGACAGGGUUACUCUGAGUGAUUUCCGUUAAGGAAAUCUUUUGGCACCUCUAAAAAUGGUGCAGAAUAAGGGGUGGGCAAGUCUGGUGUCAGCCGCCGCGGUGAUACCAGCACCCCGAGUGGUCGGGACGUUUAUUGGGCCUAAAGCAUCCGUAGCCGGUUCUACAAGUCUUCCGUUAAAUCCAACUGCUUAACAGGUGGGCUGCGGAAGAUGCUAUARAGCUAGGAGGCGGGAGAGGCAAGCGGUACUCGAUGGGUAGGGGUAAAAUCCGUUGAUCCAUUGAAGACCACCAGUGGCGAAGGCGGCUUGCCAGAACGCGCUCGACGGUGAGGGAUGAAAGCUGGGGGAGCAAACCGGAUUAGAUACCCGGGUAGUCCCAGCUGUAAACGAUGCAGACUCGGUGAUGAGUUGGCUAUAUGCCAACUCAGUGCCGCAGGGAAGCCGUUAAGUUUGCCGCCUGGGGAGUACGGUCGCAAGACUGAAACUUAAAGGAUUGGCGGGGGAGCACCACAAGGGGUGAAGCCUGCGGUUCAAUUGG